GCACAAGCGGUGGAGCAUGUGGUUAAUUCGAAGCAACGCGAAGAACCUUACCAGGUCUUGACAUCCCUGACAACCAAGAGAUUGGGCGUUCCCCUUCGGGGGACAGGGUGACAGGUGGUGCAUGGUUGUCGUCAGCUCGUGUCGUGAGAUGUUGGGUUAAGUCCCGCAACGAGCGCAACCCUCGCCUCUAGUUGCCAGCAUUCGGUUGGGCACUCUAGAGGGACUGCCGGCGACAAGUCGGAGGAAGUGGGAUGACGUCAAAUCAUCAUGCCCCUUAUGACCUGGGCUACACACGUGCUACAAUGGGCGGUACAAAGGGCUGCGAACCCGCGACGGGGGAGCGAAUCCCAAAAAGCCGCUCUCAGUUCGGAUUGCAGGCUGCAACUCGCCUGCAUGAAGCCGGAAUCGCUAGUAAUCGCGGAUCAGCAUGCCGCGGUGAAUACGUUCCCGGGCCUU
rnacentral:rRNA from 1 species